AGCUGGUCUAAAGGUAGUGCGUUAUCUCACUUAAUUGUUCACAGCCAGUUUCAGACUGAACUCCUUGUUCCAUUACUUUUCCCCCUUCUCACUACUACACUUGUUUUAA
rnacentral:Y_RNA from 1 species